CGCUGUAAGUGAGCAAUGCAGAUGUUACUUGAUAACUCUGUAAAGUUUUCUCUUUGAUUUGAAGAUAUUCGUCUGCAUUCAAUGGGCGACUAAUCCAAUUAUUGUUGCCCUCCAGAACAGACCAUUCUUCAAGACAUACAGACUACUAAAAUUAUUGUUAAUUGAAUGGUUGAAAAUUGAUAUUUUCAAAGACCGAGACCACAGUGCACAUCUAUUGAAAACAUGAACACGGACGUUAUGAGGUAAGUUCCUUUUUAGUCUGACAUGCCUGUAUUCUGUGUAUCCUGAGAUGAUUCAAUUCUCCCACAUUUCUGUGUUCAGCCUGCUGCAAAAAGUCUCAGUGAUAGAGUAUACCAAGAAGGCAACUGGAUUGCACUUGGUAUAAACUCAAAGAUAAACACAAAUCAAAAGAGAAAAACAAGGAUUCUGAUGAUACAUGCCACUACUCAAGUGUGGUCAUCCAUAUGAUUCAGAAUCUGCUUAUAAUAACUGUUACAGAUGAUCAUCACCAUGAAAACAAAAAUUUAAAUUUCUCAUAGAGAAUUUACAGAUCCUUGAGAAACUGACGAACUCUGGGAAAGAAGAGUUGAGCGGGAAAAGUCAAACAGUUUGCCUUUGGGAGACUAAAGUCCAAGUCCAACUGUGUCACUAACUGACUCUGGAAGGUUGGGCAAGUGUUUACAUCUUUAGGCCAAAUGCCCAGCAGCCUCUCACAAAACUUGAUAUUCAAGUGUCCCAACCAGAAGACUUGGACAUACGUGGACAAGGUGUGUGACACAAGAAACGACUGUGGGGAUUGUUCAGAUGAAUCAGGGUAACCCUGGUUCAGAUCCAGCUGAAAGUAAGUUGGGGGCUAGUCUUAAAAGCAGUGGACAACAGCCAGCAAAUUGGGACAACAGCCAAAAGAUCAACCAGACUAGAAUCAUCUGCCCCUCCAGCCUGCCAGGACCUGAAAUUCUUUCCAGUAGGUACUGAGAUCAAAACAGCAGACCUGGGUUUGAAUCUCGCUCUACCACUUAAGGGGUAUGUUUUAAGGGUUUCCUUAUCUGCAUAAUGUGGCUCUUUGGGGGAGAUUGUUAUGACAAUCAGUAAGAUGAUAUAAAAUGAGUUAUACAGUGCUUAAUAAACACAGGAAUUGUGGGCAAUUUAAGAAAAAUUAUAAGGAUAUGGUAGAUUAUAUUAUUGUUUUAAAAAAAAUCUGCUAUCUUGCUCCGGGGGAGGAUUAUACUUCCCCAAUCCUCAUGGCCAUCAGACUUGACUACGUAUGUGACUUGCUCUGGCUGCCGAAAUUUAAUG